rnacentral:lncRNA from 1 species
GUAGGAGUUAGCAAAGUGAAGGUGAGGGUGAUGAGGAAGGAAAGCUUUGUCUUCACCUUUUUAAGGUACAGAUGGACUGAAAGCACAUUAGAUCAUUGAAAGGGAUGAUUGAUAGAAAGAGAGAAGGAUGAAGUUGCAGCAGAGAGGGGGCGACUGGAGUUGUGUGGUCUCUAAGAAGGGGAAAGGCGAGGACAAGUAGGUGGGUCCUGGAAUCUGGUAGGACAUAUGCUUCAACAGAGGGAAGAAGGAGCAGAUGGAGUACACAUCUAGCACUGGGAGAAUUUGCAAUUCUAAACAAAGUUUGAAGGAUUUGAAUACAGUCCUUCCUUCUAAGGAAUUUGAAUUGAUCUAUACAUACAUCAUUGGUCCUCAUCGAAUCUUGAGGCGAGAGCUGGCAGAUGUCUUUAUGUUACAGAUGGUUCCUCAUGUGGCUGCUCUCUCUGCACACCGCCUGGAAAGCUUGCAGUGGACAUGGAGAAUCCAUCACCCAGACAGGUGCCGGUUCUAUAAACCUUCGGAGUGGGUAAGUACUGUAUGGACAAGAGGGACACAUUUUCCUCUGUGUUUUACAAUUCCUUUGUGACAUCUACGCUUAUUUAAUUAUAACUCACGAUUGCUCUUUCUAGGAAUAAUGUCUGUUUAUUCAGGGCCUCUUCGGAAGGCUAGAAAAGGGGCAAAUGAAACAGCUCUUAACCAUUUCCUCUUGUAUUUCUUAUUUUUCUCCUCCAAAAGGGUAAUGACAAAGUGAAUGAGAAAAAUAAAUGCAUAUUAUUCAGACUUGGAAGCUGUAGAAUGUAGAAUGGGAACUAAAACGCCAAAUGUUUAGAUCUGC